CCAGAAAAAUGGCCAGGACCCUCCGCGGCCGACGCUUCAGGGCGCACGGGCCGCCCCGCCUUUAAAUUUAAAAUUUCCCAAACGCUGCAUCUGAUUGAGCCGUGGCCUCGUGACGUCAUGGGCCAUUCCACCUGCGGGGCAGCGCGGGGGACGCAAGGCGGGCGGCGGGACUACAGCUAAACACGAGAGGGGAUUUAAAGGGCCUGGCGGAGAGUCGCAGAAGAGGGUCGGAGGGAGGAGGGGCGCCCGGGAGUCUGCGGAGAGCGGUGGUCCUGGAAUACCAGAAUACUAUAAUCUGCCAAAAGCCAGCAAACAUCAUCCUCCACCCCAUCCUUAAAGAGUUUGGAACCCGUAGACGAAACCAGCAAGUAUGCCAGUACUCUCAGAAACGAUAUUAAGAAUGAAGAAACCAGGAUAAGAGUACACCAAGAUGUGUACAGAGAGACAUUGUAGCUAGUGGAAAGAGAAUUGGAAUAAGAGCAAGAAGAACCCCAACUCUGCCAACAGCUGGUCAUGUGAGUGAGCCCAAAUUACUUGACGUUUUUUACCUGCAAAGUCAUUGGGUUGUCUCAAUUCAUCCUUAAUACCCAUUUUCUGAUAUCAUGAUUUUAGGUUUAAAGUAAUUUAAAUGACCAAUGAAAGUGUUGAGAUUAUGUGUAGCUAAUUAGCUCAGAAUGAUUGAUGCCUAAAAAAUUAAAUGUAGAUUAAAGUUGUGUGUAUAUGUGUUUAUGUAUAUGCAUGUGUAUGUUAGAGAAAGAGUUUAAAAGAAGAAAGCUUAAAGAGGAUGAUUAUUUGUGUAAGAUGCAAUAUGGAAGUAAAACUUGC
rnacentral:lncRNA from 1 species